UAGUGUCGAACUGGCCGGGUGAAAUUUACAAAUAAGAGGCAAUUUACGGAAUGAAGUGCAUAUUUGAACUUCUAAAUAAUAAUAAUUGCUAGAAUUGAAGUUUCAGCGGCUAGAAUUGAGUUUCACUUAUUUAAAAAAAACAGUUGAGUAGCCUUGAUCUUGAUAGUAUGACGUAAUGACUUGCAGGAGCGUAUACAUGCUUCCUCUGAGCUAGCUUAAAGUGGGGUUGUCAUUUUAGCAGGGGCCUCAGGAAAACUGGAAUAGUGAAGAAACGGUGUGUGGUUACAGACUUUUGUAUGAGGUUUUGAAAGUUAGGUAGGCGACUCUAGGCCGAGGAGCUCAGAAAACUGUUUGCCCCCAAUAUAUGGUCUCAACAAAUAUCGUCAGUUAGGAAAUUAAGAACAUAUGAUAUGUUACAUUUAAAACGGCGUUUACGCAAGAAAAUUACAUUAAGUUAAAUUUGAACCGUCAUGAAUGAUCAAUGCUUGCACAAUUUCGUAUAGGUAUACUGCCAUUGAGAAUUGAAACAGGGCGAUACGUUGGAGAAGAAACAGAAAAUAGACUGUGUACAUUGUCACAUGAUUGUGUAAUAUGAACUUAGUAGAAAAUGAGGUUCAUUUUUUAGUUGACUGUGUUUUUUACGAAGAAUUUAGGGAUCAGUGGUCAGACAUACAGUUCGUCCAAAAGAACAGUAAUGAUAAGCUUAGAACAUAAGUGAUGUCAUAUCGUCGAAAGGUUGCUAGGUAUCUGGCGAAGGCCUAUUCCAAAAGACAAAGUGCACUUUUUAAACGGUGAAGCUUGCGAUACUAUUGAUACUAUAUAAUUGUAAUAUGCAUCAUUUCAAACAAUAAGAAUUAUUUAUGUGUGGUAAAAUUUUUACAUAUAAUAAAUUUAAAACUGUUUUAAUCAUCAAAAUAUCCACAUAUUUGCUCUGAGUUAAUAUCAUAUCUUAUUUCAUAUUAUUCCCAAUUUUUAGAUCAUGUUAUAAAUGUGUAACAAGUUAACAGGUGACAUAUAGGCCCAUUGGGCCAGGUGUUGUGAAUGUUGAUCAUUUAUUGUAAUAUGUAUGUACUGUAUAUAACACAUGUCACGUUAAUAAACAAUUUACUUACUUAC